GGCCUCGUAGCUCAGUUGGCUAGAGCUUUGACUGUACCAAAGACUUUCCCUUGCUGGCAUGGGUUUGAAUCCCACCGAGGCCG
rnacentral:tRNA from 1 species